CGGGCGGGCGGCUCCUGUUUCCCGGCUCCCGGGCGGGCGGGCGCGGGCCAGCUGCUGGGAGGUGAGCGGAGCAGCGUUUUCCCACAGUCUGGGGCGGUGACACAUGGCGCUCACACAUUCCACAGCCGGCGGCCGAGCCAGGCCUGGCGCUGUGCAUCAGGAGCAGAAGCAGGUCGUCUGUGUUGUUGGUGCUCAUCCACAAGACGGAGGUAAGCUCAGCAGCGGCCCAGAGCAGGAUGGCAGGAUGUCAAGUGACCAAAGGGCUUUUUCACUGCUGGAAAGAUGGUACUUUCCAUUCUCACUCCUGCAGCCUCUAUACCCCGUCUCUGGGAUCCCUAGGUCACCUGAAUGCAAGAGCUUCAUUCUCUCCCAAAAGAGCCUUUGUGGGUGGGUGACCAAGAAGGGCCAUCCUCCUGUCUUCCCAAAUGCUGUCAUUCAUUCUCAUACGUCCUUUCCGGGGACAUCAUGCUUCUCAGCCCACGGCCCCCCUCAGUCCUUGCGCCUCACACCUGCAACUAAACUUUGAAAGGAAGCAGAGCACAAGCAUGUUGGCCUGUGUGUGUUCAUCUGUGUGAGCCAUGGCUUGUCUGUCGCUCUCUCUUUCCCGUCACCAUGUGUCCCGGGAUUCAGCCUGGAAUGAGAAGCUGUCCUCAAAGAGCUUCCAAUCCACAGGCGCAGCGGGUGAAAAGCAAUCCACUUCUGUCCUGAGAAACCAAGGCACAGGAACUGAGUGGUCGGAGAACACUGGUAUUUCAGCUGAGUUAAAACAUGGAAGUCCAGAGACUGGAGGAUGCGAGUGAAACUCUCCUGCACAAGGCCUCCAAAGCCCAGCUGUUCGAUUGCUCUAUGUCCUUGAACAAGCCACAUACCCUCUACUUUUUAAAUUUUGUAUGUUUUGUUUUUCAAGACAGGUUUUGUGUGUGUGUGUGUGUGUGUGUGUGUGUGUGUGUGUGUGUGUGUGUGUAGCCUGGGCUGUCCUGGAGCUAGCUUUGUAGACCAGGCUGACCUCAAACUCACAGAAAUCCACCUGCCUCUGCCUCUGAGUGCUGGAAUCAAGGCAUGUGUCACCACCACCCAUCCCCCUUUACACUUUUUAAAAUUUGGGUAUAAAUUUUAAAACACAAUAAGACACAGAAAAUAAUUGGAAAAAGUCAACUUAAAGUUGCAAAGGAUAAUAAUAGAGAAUGUCUGUAGAUGUUGUACCCAUCUGACAUUGUGGUAACAUUUUACCCCAUGUGCUAGAUCGGCUUUGUGUCAUCUUUCUUACUCUCUACAUAAAUGUCAUUCUCUCUAUGUUUGUGGGAGAUGAGUACCAAGAUCAUGAGUGUGCAAGUGCCUUGUACAUGCAAGAUAGCACAGGAGCCUGGUGAGUGGAGGAUGUCUGGAGUCCCUCUAUCCCCAAAGCAAAAGCUUGAACUCUGACAUUUGAGACCAACUCAGACAUCAAUUUCCUGUCUCAAAAUAUA
rnacentral:lncRNA from 1 species